GCCUUAGGUUAGAAAAAGGGGGAAAGAAGAAAAUAGAGGAGCCAUUUUUCUUUGGGGCUACCAAAUUCAAGAGAAGGAGAGAGAGAGGAGAGCAACGAAUUCUAGAGAGAGAGAGAGAAGAGAAAAAAGGAGAAGAGAAGAGGAAAAAGGGGUGGUGGCCAAAUUGAGUUUUGAAACUCUAUCAAAUGAGGUAAAGGCAGUCCUGAGUUGGAGAGCUUUGGGGCUGAAUGUACAUAGUCGGCUGAUCGGCCGCCACGGUCGAGGAGUAAUACAGGAAGGGAAAGCCUAAAUGUCUGUUUUUUCCAUAGAGUGGCUAGUAGCUGUACUUUUAUGCUGAAAUUUUGUAAAUUGUCUUUUAAACGCUAUUACUUUUGGGAUCCCAUAUAUAAAAUGUUGGAUUGUAUGAAAUGUAAUUUUUGUAACCAAAAUCUUUUAACCCUAGUUCGAUUAUAGUUUCAGUGAUACGUUUCUAACUAAAUGACUUGAUUAACAAGUCUUGCACUUUUCUAAACACAGUGUAACGGUCUUGGCUAUCCAGGGCGUUACAGUGUGCAUGUGCAUGGUUGCAUGGUGCACUUGUAUGGAAUUUUCUA